rnacentral:rRNA from 1 species
GACGAACGCUGGCGGCGUGCCUAAUACAUGCAAGUAGAACGCACAGUUUAUACCGUAGCUUGCUACACCAUAAACUGUGAGUUGCGAACGGGUGAGUAACGCGUAGGUAACCUGCCUGGUAGCGGGGGAUAACUAUUGGAAACGAUAGCUAAUACCGCAUAAUAUUAAUUAUUGCAUGAUAAUUGAUUGAAAGAUGCAAUUGCAUCACUACCAGAUGGACCUGCGUUGUAUUAGCUAGUAGGUGAGGUAACGGCUCACCUAGGCGACGAUACAUAGCCGACCUGAGAGGGUGAUCGGCCACACUGGGACUGAGACACGGCCCAGACUCCUACGGGAGGCAGCAGUAGGGAAUCUUCGGCAAUGGACGAAAGUCUGACCGAGCAACGCCGCGUGAGUGAAGAAGGUUGUCGGAUCGUAAAGCUCUGUUGUAAGAGAAGAACGGGUGUGAGAGUGGAAAGUUCACACUGUGACGGUAUCUGACCAGAAAGGGACGGCUAACUACGUG